AUUGAACGCUGGCGGCAUGCCUAACACAUGCCAGUCGAACGGCAACACACUAAUUGCUUGCGCUGAUUGGGGGGCGGUCGCGUAAGUGACAGGAAUGUAACCGAACCUAGUCUUUCGGGGAGCUUAAGGUAUGUAAACUUACUAUAAGAUCGCAGCCCAUCUUCCGUGGAGAGCAUGGGAUCGUUGCGCCGGUCGGGGUUGUAUUAGCGGAUGUCGGAUUAGUUAGUGGGGGGGUUAAAGGCCAACCAAGGCGACGAUCCGUAGCUGGUCUGAGAGGAUGAUCAGCCACACUGGGACUGAGACACGGUCCAGACUCCUACGGGAGGCAGCAGUGGGGAAUGUUGGACAAUGGGCGAAAGCCUGAUCCAGCCAUACCGCGUGGGUGAUGAAGGCCUUCGGGUUGUAAAGUGCUUUUGUUGGGAAAGAAAAGACGCAGGUUAAUAACGAGCGGCUAUGACGGUACCGAAAGAAUAAGCACCGGCUAACUUCGUG
rnacentral:rRNA from 1 species